GAUGAAGAACGUAGUGAAAUGCGAUAAGUAAUGUGAAUUGCAGAAUUCAGUGAAUCAUCGAAUCUUUGAACGCACAUUGCGCCCCUUGGUAUUCCGAGGGGCAUGCCUGUUCGAGCGUCAUUACACCACUCAAGCUAUGCUUGGUAUUGGGCGUCGUCCUUAGUUGGGCGCGCCUUAAAGACCUCGGCGAGGCCACUCCGGCUUUAGGCGUAGUAGAAUUUAUUCGAACGUCUGUCAAAGGAGAGGAACUCUGCCGACUGAAACCUUUAUUUUUCUAGGUUGACCUCGGAUCAGGUAGGGAUACCCGCUGAACUUAAGCAUAUCAAUAAGCGGAGGA
rnacentral:misc_RNA from 1 species